rnacentral:rRNA from 1 species
GAUGAACGCUGGCGGCGUGCCUAACACAUGCAAGUCGAACGAAGCGCCUUUUAAGAUUCUUCGGAUGAUUGAUUGGUGACUGAGUGGCGGACGGGUGAGUAACGCGUGGGUAACCUGCCCUGUACAGGGGGAUAACAGUUGGAAACGGCUGCUAAUACCGCAUAAGCGCACGAGAGGACAUCCUCUUGUGUGAAAAACUCCGGUGGUACAGGAUGGGCCCGCGGCUGAUUAGCUGGUUGGCAGGGUAACGGCCUACCAAGGCGACGAGCAGUAGGCGGUCUGAGAGGAUGAACGGCCACAUUGGAACUGAGACACGGUCCAAACUCCUACGGGAGGCAGCAGUGGGGAAUAUUGCACAAUGGGGGAAACCCUGAUGCAGCAACGCCGCGUGAGUGAAGAAGUAUUUCGGUAUGUAAAGCUCUUUCAGCAGGGAAGAUAAUGACAGUACCUGACUAAGAAGCUCCGGCUAAAUACGUGCCAGCAGCCGCGGUAA